GGUCCGUUGGCCCAAUGGCAAGGCGUCUGACUACGACUCAUACGUGAGCGCUAUAAUCAGGAGAUUGCAGGUUCGACCCCUGCACGGAUCA